rnacentral:lncRNA from 1 species
GUACCAGUGACAGUUGGUCUCCUUUCAGCCAAAUAGCUCCCAUAUGCUACAUAAUGCUGCUGCUGAUUAAAAUCCUAUGGAAGAGUCAGCCUGUGUCUGGAACAAUAGCAGCCUGAAUUCAAUUUAUCAGUCUUCUGGGGAAGCAGAGAUAAUCAAAUUCCCCCCUUCAGCAACUUUGGGAACCCACCAUUUGACAAGAUACAAUGGAUACUGUCUCCAUGUGGUGUCAAUGGCUCCUGGAAGCUGCAGAAUUAGAUCUUUCUCAAAUAAUAUAAUCUCACAGAAAGAGAGAAAACCAUCUCUUCAUUGGCCCUGUCUACUCUUGAAAAGGACUCAAGCUGGCCUCGAUGAGAUUAGAUCACAUGCUGUAAGUUCCUUCAAGGAGAAAGAAAAGAAAGAUGAAAUGUACAAAUGA